CAUUGGUACCAAAACUUAUCUGUGACAAUAUCUUGAACAUUAAUGCCUUUAAGAGAAAUGCCCUUAAAAAUACCUUUAGCAAGCAUUUCCUUAGCAAACACGCUCCUAGCAACAGAGAGUAAGUUUUGUAAGGGCAUGUGAAUACGAAGGCAGAGACUGGAGUGAUGCCAAGAAAUGUGAAAGAUUUCCAGGAGCCAUCAGAAGCAAGGAAAAACGCAUGGAAAAGAUUCCGAGUGCUCAGAAGGAAGCAACCCUACCACCACCUGAUUUGGACUUCUAAGCUCCAGAACUAAGCGAAGAGGACGUAAAUAUUCCCAUUUAGAAGCCCAAAGUCAGUGAGAUGAAACCCAACAUCAAGAAAUUGAAGCAAAGUUACUUGUGGAUAAACAAAGCAUUAGAUAUUCCCCUGAAGAAAUUUGGAAAGAAAUUGAAAUUGCCUGUGGUUGUAGCCAGUUCACCUGUAAAGAAUAUAAAAUUCUCCCCAUGAACUGGUCAUCCC
ensembl:lncRNA novel transcript